CAAUCUAAUCACGGAUCGACUCCGUUUCUAUUUUUUCAAAAAGAAAAUUUCCCGCCUCUUCUUCUUAAAUACCGUUUUUAUAGUUCUCGGAUUCUCUCUCCCGCUCAGUAACUACGAAAAGAGAUGAUGAUUUCAGACUUCAGAUUUCAGAUUUCUUUCCUUAGUUCGCCUUUGAUUGUUAUCUAAGUUCGAGGUUUUCAGAUUUCCUUUCUUGUGGAUGGUUGGAGACUAAGCUAUUCUCAAUCGAGCACCUGGCGUUUAGUGGUGACUUGUGACUGAAUAAUACACAAUAAAGAAGACAAAAAGAUUCUCUUGAGCCCUCUUAGCCAUACGCUCAAGUUUUGAUCGACAGGACAAAAUAUUUGAAAGAUUCAGAGGGACCUGAUAUGAUACGGUGGGUUGGAUUCCCCAAAGCUACAUGCCAUUCACCACCAAAAGUGCAAAGCAAAGGUAAUGUUGUCUUUUUGAAUUUGAGCUGCAAGUGAAGCAGGUGAAGCUUUUGGUUUCUUAUCUUCCGCUGGAUAGGAAGCCAGGAGGCUCACGAAAUGGAAUGGGGGAUAAGGAGACUUUAUGUUGCGUCAUGCAUGAGCAAUCUCCCCCGCGAGUUGGGGCCUUUUGCUGCUUUUUUGACUAGAGAUGGUCAUGUUCGCUUGUCGUGAUUAGCAAAGCCCGAGUGGCCGAUCUGAGCCUGAGUUUUUGUUGUUGGACCAGUCCAGGACCUGUCCGAAGGAACCUUGCCUACCCCAGUAUACUUCAAGCGGGAGGAUUGGGCAGGCUGCUAGUUUUCUUGGAGCUAUUGGUUCAACUAUUUUUCUUUUUUUUGUUAGGAGGAUUGGAAUGUGGGGGGCUUGGGUCAUUUCCAAAGGGUAGAGAAAAAAAAAAGAGAGUGACACAGCUUCCAUCUACCAAUGUCCAGCCUUUUUCCAUAAUGAAACAAAGAUUUAAUGCAUGAUUAUGUAUGUACAUGGUUGUACCUUCAACUGUUGGAUGGGGGAGAUAAAAGGAUGUGUAAUUACAUUUCUGCCUCACCCCCAACCAUUGGUUGAAAGCCACAUAAAAACUUGGUCCUUAACAAUUAUAUUUUCUAUUGGCAAGAGAAUCCUGUCUGUGUGGUCAUUGUACCAGCAUACAGGCAAAUGAGAGGUUGUGUGAAAGUAUCUGGGCAA